UUUCUCUUUAUUUCUUCAUUGCUCCUUUCACAAACCCUAACUUUCUAUUUCUCUCCCUGUCUUCUCUCCCUCUUUCACAAACCCUACCAUAUCUCUUUCCCUUCCUUCUUCUUUCUAUGACUCAGCCUCUAUUUCUCUCUCUUUUCUCUGUCACCUCAAUAUCUUUUUUCCUCUUCUUCUUUUUUUCUUCAGAUCCAACGCUUCCAUGGAUACACUGUUUUUCGGUGAAAAGUGUGGAAGUCACGAGAAUCAGAACCGCGGAAGAGGUUGUAUUUGUCUUUGAAAACAUUGAAGGAAUUGAGUCACCAAGCAGAAGUGAAAUUAGAGAAACGGCACCGUCGCCCGACAAACAGGAUUUAGACUGGAUCGAGUUUUAAUGAGACUGUUCCCAAGUGUGACAUUACUAUUGCUGAUGAAAGUAAGAAGACAGUUGUUAUGUCUUUGUGGGGUGAUCUUGCAACCAACAUAGGACAAGAGUUGUUGGACAUGGUUGAUAAAUCUUCAGUAGUUGCAAUCAAAUCCGUGAAGGUUGUAUACCUUCAAGAUAUUGAAAUGUUAAACUGUGGUGAAAAAAUAUGCGUGGAUUGCAAAAAUCGAAACAAGUUUCAUGGGCUUCGGAUUUGAAUCUUUGUCAGCUAUACAGCAUGCCCAAUACUAUCUGAAGAAAAUAGGACUAGGUCCAAAUAACUACUACUUCUAGAAACAAAUCAGAAAGGCUUUGAUAUGCACCUAUACAGUGAUGGGUGAAGCGUGGUUAUACAACGAGACACCGCCAUUGGGUUGGUGGACACUGGAGCCAAUGCCAAAUGAAGAGAAAGACAUGGCUCAUUUGUAUGAGCAGACUGUCCGAAAAUGUGAAUUAGUUAGUCAAAUCACUAUGACAAUUUUCGGUGUUUCUAAUGUAUCAUUUAGUUCAUCCUCUUAUGAGAACUUUGAGUUUUACAGUUGUACAGUAUGAUAAUGUUACGUCAAGGAGAUAAAAGCACUAUAAUAACAAGGUCGCUGUGUAUAUCUUUGGUAUUGGAUUACGUGAGCUACUAAAAAAUCGCAUGCCUUUUGAAGGAAUGUCCAAUUUACAGGCUGCUUAUAUCGCUGCUUUCAAACUACUAAAUUCGAAAUUAUAGAGUGAUUUUUCAUCAAUCAGAUGGUUAUAUUUUCUAUGUCAGCAAUCAGAUGGUUUUUUUAUAGUGCUGCAAAGUUUCGCGGUGCUUUAUCGACUGAAAUGACAAUGGUUUAUUGGACCCUUUUAUGAGUAAAAUUAUGCUCGUCAUUAUUUUCCAGUUUCUAUACUGAAUGUUAGAUGCAUGCUGUUAGCAUGUCUUGAAUUUGAUCUUUCUAUGAGCUUGUGUUUCACAAGAAGGAAGAAUAAUUCAGUAUUAAACGAGUAUGUAUUCCUUCAAUUCAAAUUGGAACACUUGGUAUAUAGGUUUUAUCUUUUUUUACUGUUGAUACUGUGUUGGUUAAGAAAAUCAUUGCGCUGUAUAUGAGACUAUGUAUCAUUACCUAAUGAAACCACACUGAUUCUGAGAGAUGGAUAAUGAUGUCAAUGUUUUAUUACAAGUAUCAAGUUACCCAUAAUUGGUUAUUAUCUACAUGAUGCCAUUUAUUUCAAUUUUUCUUAACUAUUCUAGAAUGAUAAAGUCAGAGUUAGUAAUUAAUAAUAUAACUUCAAAACAAUUGCAUUACUAUGCAUCAUAAAUACCGUAUGAAACAAUUAGCAUUAGUUCUGAAAAUUUCUGUUGGAUUUUAGGCUGACUUGGUUCCUACUUUCUGCAGGUCUGAUGUAGGUCUUGAAUGACCCCCCUGUUGUUUUGCUUCCACCACUGACUUGGUUCUUAUUCUGUCUCUUAUGAAUGACCCCCUGUUUUUUUGCUUCCACCACUGCUAUUACGCUUAACUGCCACUGCUGUUGUUCUAUUUUUCAUGUGUUUUAAAUUCAAAUGUGAAGACUUUUCAAUUUUCAUGUGUUUAUUUUUGUUGCAGAAAGUGAUAGGAGAUAUUGCUAAAACAUCAAAAUUUUCUUCAUGAGACAUGGAGAUUGAGAUACAGGAGCUUCUACACGGUUUGAUAACUUCCAAGAACCAUGAGUCUUCAUCACAAAAGCAUGAAGCUUCUAUAUGAUUUUAUGUUUUCCUGUUUAUUAUACUUCACAAAAGUGCAACCUUGAUUUCAUAAAAAGAGAGAUUUGACUCACAAAAGUGCAACCUUAAUUUUUUAUAUGCACAGGUUAAGAGAAUGAGAGAAACAUUAUAUUUUCCCCUCCUUCUUCAGGUUCUGCUUCACUUAAUAACUGAUCUCUCUUGCUGUAUUUAGUUUUUUAUUUGGUGUGUGGUUUAACUCAUUUGAUAUUGCCCUUAUUGUAUGAUAUAUCGUUUUUUGACAAUGAAACAGUGGGAGAUUUGACAAGUAGACUUGGGGCAGAUUGUAAGCAAGUUUCAAGGGUUAUUGGAAAUGAUCUUAACUUGAGGCAGAUUGAUGGGGUGGAGGUAUCCUGAUAUUGGUGAGUUUCAGGUACCUUAUUUUUUGGCCCCAUUUCAAGUUAUUUUGUAACAUUGUUGUUUUUGAAACAUUAGUUUAAAUAAUGCUUAUUUAAAAAAUCACUGCUUGCCAAUAUUUGAAGACAUAAAUAUUGAAGUUUUAUCAAAAAAAAAUUGGUUCCAUGAUGUAGGUCAUAAUUGAAGAUUGCACUAGCGCUAGAUACAAUGACUUUCUGCAGUUGAAUAUAUGUAUGAAGAAUUUAAAUAGCAACAUUCAUUUAUUAUAAUAAUAGAAUUUAUUUAUCACUCAUGUCAUGAAUAUUUUUUAGUCAUGAAUAAAUAUUAAAUAGAAAGGGUUAAAUAGAACAAAAUUAAAUUUGUUAUAAGGCAAUAGGAGGAAGCAAAUUUAAAUUUAUAAUGAUGGAAAGUAAACCACAAUCAUAUCAUAUGGUUCAUAAGUGUAUAUAUUUAUUCUUUUACUAAGGUUAAUGUUUUUCAGAGUUAAUUCUCAUAGCACAAGAAAGCAUAUAGUGUUUGUUUGACUACUCCAAUUCUUGAGAUAAUCUACUUAUUAUUAUUUUACGAUGAUGAUAAUAUUUUGUUUUUUUAAAUAAUUCUAAUUUUAAAUAUUUAUUUCUAAUUUAUUAAACUUUAUAAACAAUUUUAUUAUUACAAUUCUAUCAACCUUAAAAAAAUACUUUUUUUUUCACAAUAAUUGUUCAAUAGCUCUUAAGAAAAAUAGUUAUUUUUAAAGGUUAACACUUCGGUACCCUUGAAUUUAGUUGGGUACUGGUACCUUCCUCCAAUCAAAUGAAGAUAUUCAAUGCCACAUCAUUUCUUAAUAUUAUUUUAUUUUAAAAAAAUUUAAAAUUUUAUAUUAAUUAACACUAAGGGUACCGGUACCCAACUAAAACUCAAGGGUACCAAAGAAUUUGCCAAACCCAAACCCAAACCCAUACAUUCAAUUAUCUAUUACUCUUAUUCAAGUUUAUUAAAUGAAAUCUAAACAAUAUUUAAUACGUUAUACUCUUAUUAAUAUUAUACCAUAUUCUAUAAAUAAAAAAUAUUUUUGAAUUAUUUUUUAUCAAUUUAAUAUUUUUAUUUAAAUAUUAAAACUUUAUAUUUUAAUUUAAUAUAAAAAAAUUAUCUGAUAAAUUCGAUUCAACCCACACCCAGAACCCGUGCGGACGCACGGAUUUUCCACUGGUUAAUACAAAAACAAAAUCAAGAAAAAAUACAACGUUAAUAUUUCAAGAAUUUUUUUAUAAAUAAAGUAUGUAAGUUAAGGUAUCGUUGAAUUCUUAAAAAAUCUAGUAUG